UACGGGGGGAGCAAGCGUUGUUCGGAUUUACUGGGCGUAAAGGGCGCGUAGGCGGCCACCGCAAGUCAGUUGUGAAAUCUCUGGGCUUAACCCAGAACGGUCAGCUGAUACUGCGGGGCUAGAGUGCAGAAGGGGCAACUGGAAUUCUCGGUGUAGCGGUGAAAUGCGUAGAUAUCGAGAGGAACACCUGCGGCGAAGGCGGGUUGCUGGGCUGAUACUGACGCUGAGGCGCGAAAGCCAGGGGAGCGAACGGG
rnacentral:rRNA from 1 species